UACGUAGGGUGCAAGCGUUAAUCGGAAUUACUGGGCGUAAAGCGUGCGCAGGCGGUUUUGUAAGUCUGUCGUGAAAUCCCCGGGCUCAACCUGGGAAUGGCGAUGGUGACUGCAAGGCUAGAGUUUGGCAGAGGGGGGGUAGAAUUCCACGUGUAGCAGUGAAAUGCGUAGAUAUGUGGAGGAACACCGAUGGCGAAGGCAGCCCCCUGGGUCAAAACUGACGCUCAUGCACGAAAGCGUGGGGAGCAAACAGG
rnacentral:rRNA from 1 species